UAACACGUAAACAACCUGCCUUCAGGAUGGGGACAACAGACGGAAACGACUGCUAAUACCGAAUACGUUCCACGGGCCGCAUGACCUGUGGAAGAAAGGGUAGCCUCUACCUGUAAGCUAUCGCCUGAAGAGGGGUUUGCGUCUGAUUAGGCAGUUGGUGGGGUAACGGCUCACCAAACCAACGAUCAGUAGCCGGUCUGAGAGGAUGAACGGCCACACUGGAACUGAGGCACGGUCCAG
rnacentral:rRNA from 1 species